AAUUUUCGGCAAUGGGGGCAACCCUGACCGAGCGACCCCGCGUGAGUGAAGAAGGCCUUCGGAGUGUAAAGCUCUGUUGUAAGGGAAGAACCGUACUAGUAGGGAAUGACUGGUACCUUCCGGUACCUUACCAGCAAGCCACGGCUAACUACGUGCCGGCACCCGCGGUAAUCCGUAGGUGGCCACCGUUAUCCGGAAUUAUUGGGCGUAAAGGGAGCGCAGGCGGCUUAUUAAGUCUGAGGUUAAAGUUCGGGGCUCAACCCCGUGAUGCCUUAGAAACUGGUAGGCUAGAGUGCAGGAGAGGUGAGUGGAAUUCCAUGUGUAGCGGUAAAAUGCGUAGAUAUAUGGAGGAACACCAGUGGCGAAGGCGGCUCACUGGCCUGUAACUGACGCUGAGGCUCGAAAGCGUGGGGAGCAAAUA
rnacentral:rRNA from 1 species